rnacentral:rRNA from 1 species
UGCGUAGGCGGUUACUUAAGUCAGAAGUGAAAUAUCCGGGCUCAACCCGGGGGCUGCUUCUGAUACUGGGUAACUAGAGUGCAGGAGAGGAAAGUGGAAUUCCUAGUGUAGCGGUGGAAUGCGUAGAUAUUAGGAGGAACACCAGUGGCGAAGGCGACUUUCUGGACUGUAACUGACGCUGAGGCACGAAAGUGUGGGUAGCAAACA